GCUUGUCUCAAAGAUUAAGCCAUGCAUGUCUCAGUAUAAGCUUUUACACGGCGAAACUGCGAAUGGCUCAUUAAAACAGUUAUCGUUUCUUUGGUGGUUAUUGAUUACAUGGAUAACCGUGGUAAUUCUAGAGCUAAUACAUGCAUAAAACCCUAACUUCUGGAAAGGGUGUAUUUAUUAGAUGGAAACCAAUGCGGGGUAACCCGGAAUAUGGUGAUUCAUAAUAACUUUCGGAUCGAUUUAUCGAUGCAUCAUUCAAGUUUCUGCCCUAUCAGCUUUGGAUGGUAGGGUAUUGGCCUACCAUGGCUUUAACGGGUAACGGAGAAUUAGGGUUCGAUUCCGGAGAGGGAGCCUGAGAAACGGCUACCACAUCCAAGGAAGGCAGCAGG
rnacentral:rRNA from 1 species